rnacentral:misc_RNA from 1 species
CCGCUACUGAGUUGUGGAUUAUAGGUCCAUCUACAGUUGCAAUAGGCCAAGAAGAGUCUCGGGAGGGAGACUUGGACAGACCUGUGUCAGCCGGUGAUGGACCAUCUGGUAAUCUCGGCCCAGUGGAGGAAGGGGAAUUGUCUGGAGGGGUAGCCCGGGCCCAGGCACGGGCUGGAGUGUGGAUCGCCUCGCACUUAAUGGCUAUCUCCACGUCAUUGUUGAGCUAUGGGACACUGUCGAUUGCUUCGGAGCAAAUGCAUUCUCCUUUACCUCCUGUGGUGGUUGCUCCUCCAUGCAAACCAUGUGUUGUGAUCCCCCCCCAUGCGAGUCUACACUCGCAUUCCAAGGAGGGCUCGAUGUCUCCAAGCGAAAGUGAGAGGGAUGGCACCUCCGACUGAAGCCUUCAUCAGCAAGAUAUCCAAGAAGGUGAAUGGGGUCCUGCCUAGGCCUCGUGCCACUGGGAACAAGAUAAAAGUCGUGUCCCCAAGCUUCAUCCCUCGCCGGAGCAGAAGGGUAGCUGGAAUGGGGGUUGAGC